GAGGCAAAAAUAAGGAAACUUGAGGUUCUUUUCUUCCUGCAUGUUUCUUCACGCAGUUUUAAGUAACUCAUAGGACAUUUUCAUCUUAUAAUCAACCUUGGUGUGGUAGAAAAUUAAGUUGCUUCCUGACCAUAAUCACAACUAUUUCCUUUCUUCUUAUUUAUUAACUUCACCGUGCUUUAUAAUAAAAAAAUUUUAAAAAAAAUACUAUGUUUUAACGCUAGUGCUGAAAUUUGAGAAGGUCAUAGCCUUAGCCGAGUGUAUGUCAUUGUCGGUUGCUGGAAUUGAAUGGGCCCAUAGCACAUGAUGCAGAACUUGAGAGAAUUGGUAGAUUUGUAGAUCUUUCACUUUAGGAUGAAUCAUCUUUAACAAUACCCAAGGAUUGGAUAAACAAAUUAAGCAAUGAAUAUGGCAUCUUGAUGCCAAAUUCUUAGUCUUUGUGUGUGUGGAAAAUACAGUUUUUUUUUUUUUUAA
rnacentral:misc_RNA from 1 species